ACAGCUUAUGUCACUUUAUCAGUGCGGGACUAACAAACCAAAGUAACUUGCAAACCCACAUUUAUUUCCUGAUAUGUCAAGAAAUGCAGCUGGGACUACCAGAAAAAUAUAUGCAAAACAAUUGCAUAAUGCUAUAAUGUCAUUAUUAAAUCAUUAAAAAUUAUUACAAAAAUUAAAUAAUAAAAUAAAUGUAACUGCAAUGCAUAAAGUAUACAAAUGACGAAGCAAAGCAGCAUCAGAAGUGUGUUUAAACGGACUCAGAACACCAUAUAAGAUAUUAUAAAUAUAAAACGAGCACUCAAGGUAGAUAAAAAAAUCGUUGAUCAUUGCCAUUCAUAUUGUAAUCAUUUUUAUUAAUGUCAAAUAACAGAAUAGUAGAAUUCGUGCAUAUCUUUAACACAAAAUAAAAAAAUAAUAAUAAACAGAGAUAAUUUACGUCAGACGUGUGGUCACCUCUAUUAAAUUAACUACCAAGAGGAAGAAAUUGUUAUUUAUGGUUACCCGAUUAUACCAAUCAAGCUGAUAAGUGUUUUAGAUGCUAUUUUAACUUAUGCAUUAGUAAAUUAAGUUGUCUUGUGGCAAAAUAAACAAAAUGGUUAUUUAAACCGGAAAUAAAUUGUAUACUAGCAGAGAAUUGUGGGUAAAUCGAGUCUAUUCCAUCAGAGUCGCGCUGCGCUUCCCAGUGGGUCGCGCUGCUCUGAUGAAACUGGUCAGCGCUGCGCUAUCCAUCGGGUGGCGCAAGUAAACAACUCAUCUCUGCGCUAUCCAGACAGUCGCGCGGCUCUGUCCAUUGGUCCGCGCGUAUAAUUGGUCCGCGCAGCGCGGAUCAAUCGAGUGGCGCAGUUUCGUCCUUCUUUUGAGGAGAUCGGCUUCCCAUACUUGCGUGAAUCAAAGAGGCCGCAACAAAAGGACGAUGGAGGUACGUUGACUGCAGGCACUCAGAGGUAAAGCCGAUAGCAGCUCAACAAUAGCAGCAGACAAAAUGAAGAGGAAAAGUGGAGAAAAGGACGCUUGGGUUUCAAUGUCAACAACUGAAUUCUUGUGAAAACAAGUCAAGAGAUCAUCGUUUUUCAGCUCCAACAUCCAGAACUCAUUGAAGACUGUGGUUACCCAUCACAUCGCUUGCUUACUAUAGCUGACAACAAGUAUUUGAAAGCAGCAUCUUCAUAUUCAUGAGCUCUGACGGAUGGUCAAGAUCCCACCACACUGGUCUGCUCAAAGAUGAAAUAACAAUGUGGUGUCUGGAGAUGUAUGGCCUGCUUGAAGACGGAG